GACGAACGCUGGCGGCGUGCCUAAUACAUGCAAGUUGAGCGAUGAAGAUUGGUGCUUGCACCAAUUCGAAGAGCAGCGAACGGGUGAGUAACGCGUGGGGAAUCUGCCUUUGAGCGGGGGACAACAUUUGGAAACGAAUGCUAAUACCGCAUAACAACUUUAAACAUAAGUUUUAAGUUUGAAAGAUGCAAUUGCAUCACUCAAAGAUGAUCCCGCGUUGUAUUAGCUAGUUGGUGAGGUAAAGGCUCACCAAGGCGAUGAUACAUAGCCGACCUGAGAGGGUGAUCGGCCACAUUGGGACUGAGACACGGCCCAAACUCCUACGGGAGGCAGCAGUAGGGAAUCUUCGGCAAUGGACGAAAGUCUGACCGAGCAACGCCGCGGGAGUGAAGAAGGUUUUCGGAUCGUAAAACUCUGUUGGUAGAGAAGAACGUUGGUGAGAGUGGAAAGCUCAUCAAGUGACGGUAACUACCCAGAAAGGGACGGCUAACUACGUG
rnacentral:rRNA from 1 species